rnacentral:rRNA from 1 species
AUAUCAAUAAGCGGAGGAAAAGAAACCAACAGGGAUUGCCUCAGUAACGGCGAGUGAAGCGGCAACAGCUCAAAUUUGAAAUCUGGCCUUGUGGUCCGAGUUGUAAUUUGUAGAGGAUGCUUCGAGCGUGGUCUGGUCUAAGUUCCUUGGAACAGGACGUCAUAGAGGGUGAGAAUCCCGUAUGUGACUAGGUGCCUAGGCUCAUGUGAAGCUCCUUCGACGAGUCGAGUUGUUUGGGAAUGCAGCUCAAAAUGGGUGGUGAACUCCAUCUAAAGCUAAAUAUUGGCGAGAGACCGAUAGCGAACAAGUACCGUGAGGGAAAGAUGAAAAGAACUUUGAAAAGAGAGUUAAACAGUGC